UACGGGGGGGGCAAGCGUUGUUCGGAAUUACUGGGCGUAAAGGGCUCGUAGGCGGCCAACUAAGUCAUACGUGAAAUCCCUCGGCUUAACCGGGGAACUGCGUCUGAUACUGGGUGGCUUGAGUUCGGGAGAGGUGAGUGGAACUGCGAGUGUAGAGGUGAAAUUCGUAGAUAUUCGCAAGAACACCAGUGGCGAAGGCGGCUCACUGGCCCGAUACUGACGCUGAGGCACGAAAGCGUGGGGAGCAAACAGG
rnacentral:rRNA from 1 species